GAGGAUGUAGCUCAGAGGUAGAGCGUUAGACUCUGAAUCUAAAAGUCAUUGGUUCGAAUCCAAUCAUCUUCA